rnacentral:rRNA from 1 species
AUGCUCCUCAGAAAAUCUUUCUUCAUUGAUGAUUACGCUUGGCCAAUGUGUAAUGACUUCACCUUGGAAACAGAUCAUAUUUUUUUCCAUUGCAUGCUUGCACAACUUUGCUGGCAAUACAUUUGUCCAUAAUGGAGCCCAAUUCAUUCGAAUGUGCAAGCACAUGUGGCUAGAUUACGCUACAUGUUGAAGGUGCCUUUUUCGAUGGACAUCAUCAUCCAUUUGACUUGGGCCAUAUGGAACACACAAAAUGACUUCAUCUUCAACGAUGUUUGUCCAAGUCUUUAUGCAUGCAGGCGCAGACUCAAAGAAAAACUAAAGCUGCUCACUCGUAGAGCCAAGAGGAGGUCGUUUGCUUCCCUGCCUCAGUGGGUGGACACUUUCAGACAACAAGUUUGCUUGUUAUCCUUCUUUUGUAUAGUGGACCUCAAUACUGGCUACGGCCAGUAUUCAUGUUGUUGUUGUAAAAAAAUUUUGUUGCUCCUGUUUUUUUUUUUCUGUUUUGCUUUUUAUUGGACAUCUGGACCUUGUAUUAGUUUUUAA